CCAGAUAAGUAGUGUCAGGAUAGGAAACAUGAAUUGGCAGCUGCCAGGAGAAGUUCUCUGCCAUGCCUUUCUCAACAAAGCAAAGAUCAGCAAAGAUGCAAGAUCAAUGAAGCAUUGCAAAGUGUGUUGGGGUAUCCAGGACUUGCUGUGGUGGAAAUACUCGGUUCUGAUGAUGCCAAGUAGUCUUGGUUUCUGUUGGAGAUACAGAGGAGGAAGACUCCGUGUGACCAUAGAGCCUAAGACUGGGAGAAACAGCCACAAGUCACAGCAGUGAAGAGCCAACAGAAGCAGCAAGAGGUAGGGCACCAAGCCUCCCUGGAGCCUCCCAGGAAGUGUGGCCUUGCUGGCAUCUUGAUUUCAGCAUUUUGGCCCACAGAAAUGUGAGAAUACUACUUUUUGUUCUUUUAAAUCGCUGAGGCAGAGAGCAAG
rnacentral:lncRNA from 1 species